rnacentral:rRNA from 1 species
GGCCAGACUCCUACGGGAGGCAGCAGUGAGGAAUAUUGGUCAAUGGGCGCGAGCCUGAACCAGCCAAGUAGCGUGAAGGAUGACUGCCCUACGGGUUGUAAACUUCUUUUGCCGGGGAGCAACGGGCGUCACGUGUGGCGCCACUGAGAGUACCCGGAGAAAAAGCAUCGGCUAACUCCGUGCCAGCAGCCGCGGUAAUACGGAGGAUCCGAGCGUUAUCCGGAUUUAUUGGGUUUAAAGGGAGCGUAGAUGGGUUGUUAAGUCAGUUGUGAAAGUUUGCGGCUCAACCGUAAAAUUGCAAUUGAUACUGGCAGCCUUGAGUACAGUUGAGGUAGGCGGAAUUCGUGGUGUAGCGGUGAAAUGCUUAGAUAUCACGAAGAACUCCGAUUGCGAAGGCAGCCUACUAAACUGCCACUGACAUUGAUGCUCGAAAGUGUGGGUAUCAAACAGGAUUAGAUACCCGAGUAC